rnacentral:rRNA from 1 species
UACGGAGGGGGCUAGCGUUGUUCGGAAUUACUGGGCGUAAAGCGCGCGUAGGCGGUCUGUUGCGUCGGUUGUGAAAACCUGGGGCUCAACUCCAGGCCUGCAAUCGAUACGGGCAGACUAGAGUUCGGUAGGGGAGACUGGAAUUCCUGGUGUAGCGGUGAAAUGCGUAGAGAUGCGGAGGAACACCAGUGGCGAAAGCGGCUUUCUGGUCCUUAACUGACGCUGAGGCGCGAAAGCAUGGGGAGCGAACGGG